rnacentral:misc_RNA from 1 species
UGGCUCUCGCAUCGAUGAAGAACGCAGCGAAAUGCGAUAAGUAAUGUGAAUUGCAGAAUUCAGUGAAUCAUCGAAUCUUUGGACGCACCUUGCGCUCCCUGGUAUUCCGAGGAGCAUGCCUGUUUGAGUGUCUUGAAGUCAUCAACCCGACCCGUUUUCUUGCGGUGCGGCGUUGGAACUGGGGCGUGCCGCCGCGAGGCGGCUCCCCUCAAAUGUGUCGGCUGGACCCGCGGGUCGAGAUCGAAAGGGCGUUGUACCAUCCUCGCUCGCUCGUAGACCCCAUGCGACGGGACCGACCAAGGCCGCCUCUUCCUGGGUGGCGGCCACUAUCUCUGAAAUCUGACCUCAAAUCAGGUAGGACUACCCGCUGA